AUUGAACGCUGGCGGCAGGCCUAACACAUGCAAGUCGAACGCGUGGCGGGCGGGUGAGUGAUGUCUGGGAAACACCCCGAUGGGGGGGGGUAACUACUGGAAAAGGUAGAUAAUACCGCAUACCCUAGGAUGUGCGCAGAUGGGAUUAGCUGGUAGGUGGGGUAUCAGGGCACCUAGGCGACGAUCCCUAGCUGGUCUGAGAGGAUGACCAGCCACACUGGAACUGAGACACGGUCCAGACUCCUACGGGAGGCAGCAGUGGGGAAUAUUGCACAAUGGGCGCAAGCCUGAUGCAGCCAUGCCGCGUGUAUGAAGAAGGCCUUCGGGUUGUAAAGUACUUUCAGCGAGGAGGCGUUACCCGCAGAAGAAGCACCGGCUAACUCCGUGCCAGCAGCCGCGGUAAUAC
rnacentral:rRNA from 1 species